rnacentral:ncRNA from 1 species
UCCCGAGAAGGGCAAACCGUCGGGAACGGCGGGACGCAAAGCUCCGGGCCCUACCGCUCGAAGGAGCGGGGGUGGCCGAGCUACCGAA